CGCAUUCAAUGAAACCUUGUGUUGUGAUUCAGGUUACUGCUCACUUCCUCCUUUUUGUUCAGGCAGAGAUCCCAGCUCAAGAAUGAACUUCAAGUAGGGCUUUUCAGUUAAAACUUCUGGAAAUAUCCUCAAAGACACACCCAGAGAUUUACUUAAUCAAGUUGGUAAGGAAAGUUAACCACAUCCAAAGAGAAGCUUCAUGCCUGUAGGAUGUCUGUGUGUGUGUGUGUUGCCACAGCACUUGUGUGGAGGUGGGUCUGACUCCUGACACAGCACAUGUGUGAGUUUCUGUCUGAUUCUCCUGUCUCCACUUUGCAGCUCAUUUUAAGAGUGCUGGAAUUGCAGACAUGAGUCACUGCAGCUGGCUUUUAAGGUUGGUUCUUAGGAUUCAGCUCAGUUGCCAUGUUACCAAGCUCCCCUUUCCUCCCUUCUCUUCCUAUAACAUGUGACUUGGUAUACUGUUUAAGCACUCCUCUGCAACGUAACUGGAAUGGAAAUGAUGUGACCUCAGAGCGUGGAUGAAAGAAAAAAAAUCCAUCCAAAUCUAGUUUUUUGGGAUUUCUUACAGAAGCAUGGAUGAAGAGGUUUCCAGCACUGAGUUGUCUCUGCCUCCCAAUGGAAACAUGCAAGCCUUGGUGUGCAUGUGGAGACCAAAAGACAACUUGAGGGGUUUCUCCUCCCGCCAUUUGGGUCCCGGGCUCAGGCUUUAUUGGCAAGCACCUCUACCUGCUAGGCCAGCUCUCUGGCCCUCAAAACACCUUCGAGCAGAGCGAGGACUUUCACAGUGUUGCCUCAUGUCACACGGCUGCUGUUUUACUGCUCACGUGCCAACCUAAGUGCAAAGAACUGAACUUGCUAGAAGAAUUCACGGUAGAGGCAAGGAGGAAGGAAGACAUCACCACUACGGAAGGAAGACAUCACCACUACAGCCAAGGGUCAAAUUCCUGUCCAGAAAUUGCAUCUCUAGAUAAAUGUGUUUGUUUGUUUCUUUUUGAGACAGAAUCUCACCAUAUAAUCCAAGCUUGCCUCAAACUUUUGAUCCUUCUGCCUUCUGCUGAUAAUCCCAGGUAGCUGGGAUUGGCC
rnacentral:lncRNA from 1 species